rnacentral:lncRNA from 1 species
GUUGAUGUCUAAUUUACAAUCCUUGCUUUCUACUCAACAUCCCAAACAGAUCCUAUUAUCACUCUAAAACCAAACUAUAACCCUUGAAACUCAACUACAUGGUACACAUUGUGAACAACAGAUCCUAUUUUUCUAAGACUAGUUAGUUGGAUUCCAAGCAUAACCCAUCCACAUUUCCCCUCAAAAUACAACACUAGGGAAAUAUAACCAACUCACUCCAAAAUCUUGGCAAGGCUAACAGUUCACGUUCCUCCUCUCCCAAUCAGUUUUAUCUACUCAUUCAACAUAAGCCUUUUUCUUGAGGAUCCAAGUUCAAGUCUUCUCUGGUUCUUCGUUUACUUGCUUGCUUCUUAAGCUUCAUGGACACGAUUAGGUCAGUUCACGCAUAGACGGACUUUGCUAGUUGCUACUUGCUUUGCACAGGAAUAUCCAGGUUGGAUUUUCGAAACUAUAGAACGGUUGGAAUAGGAGAACCAUGGGAAUUCGAGUACUUAGCGGCGUUCAUUUUCUAGAAGUCUUAGCUUUUGCUUCCGCUGUGCAAUGAAGAUACUGGUCCAGUCACGCCAGCUCUGAUAAUUCGGGGUGUGACAAGAUCAAGCCAGAUCCAGAGGCAAAAAACAUAUUUCUACAAGUGUGGAAGGGGAAGGGUCAUCUGCUCCAAAACGCCAAAAGCCGAUCGAGCAACGAAAGAAGACAACAAGAGGACAUGGUACAGAAUGUUACUUUUCGUGAUGUAAAAAUACACUUUGAUACUUUGUUGCCAAAACGCCAAAAUUUGUUUCGUUUGUUUAACAAUGUAUGAGAAUGGAAUUUUAC